CUCUGCCCAAGCGGUGGAGGCGACAGAAAGGCUGUGGGCUGUGUUUCAAUCACCCAAACACCGCGGAACCAGCCGACCAAUUGCUGACAAGAAAAUCAAACGGUAGGAAUGGGAAUGUAUCCAAUCAGCGUCGACGUUGUUUCAGAAGCAUGAUGGGCGAUAGAGCUACCGCCAAAGGCUUUCGUUGGUGUUCGGUAGAACUCGGAGAGUCUCGACACUUACUGGCGUGACGUCCAUGCCAUUGGUACACCAGGAAGGCUUGGCUAGCUGGAUGCAAUCACGCUAAUGCGUUAUUUUGCUUUCUGUGCUUGUUAUUCAAAACGGCUGGGACAGAUAAGGCAUGGAUGAGUCAGGAGUUACGGACAUGAAACAUUUUUCUGAGAAGGUGAAGAAACACGAGUCAUCCCGGGCACACAUGGACAACAACACGGUGAAGCUAGCCAUGCUAGGCAGCAGAGCUAACGUUGCCAUGCAGCUCGAUGAGGGAAAUGGAAGAAACGGAGGACGUUUGGACAGGGAACAACAGCAGCUGGGUGCAGAGAGGAUUAAGACUUUCCUUGAGGGACACCAUGACACAGGAUGGGCUGAAUGCUCUUGCCAUGCACUCCAUGGAAAAAAAGCUUGUCACAAACAUUCCUGACUUCAAUAAAAAGCUCAUCGAGAGCUUUGCCACUCAGAAGGACAGAAGGGCAACAUUUCUGUACAAAUGAGAAUGAACAAACACGUUUCCUGAUGAUGAUCUGGGUGGUCCGGAGUGUUGCUUAGAAGUCAUCCACCUGCUCCGUCUGCUGCUCUGAGCUCUACCUGUCUGGUUCUGUCCUCCACCCGCUGCACGGCGCUGCUUUGUCCUGUCUGACCGGCGUGUGUGCCAGCGAGCUCGGUCCAACUUUUAUUUUUUAUACCGUGUCCUGUCUGGCUGUAAAACAAUUAAAUUGAUGUCUGAAUGCUGAAGACAAGCCUCACAGUUUUUCUCUCACAGGUUAUCAGAAUCUACUUUAUUGUCAGUGCCCCAGCAUCCAGAUGCACAGACACUUGUCUCCGCAGCACAGCCUGACCAAGGUUACACACACAAACGUGUAGAACAAAAACAGAUAUAGGCAGACCACGACAGCUGCCAUUCUUCUGCUAUAAUGCCACGCCUAAUACCAAAACAUUAUUAGAAAUAUUUUCGGUGGUUUUGAAUCCCAAUGGACACGGAGACAGAAGUGAAAGAGAAAGGAAGAGGUGGGGGAGGGGGUGCUUCACAAGGAUGUGCAUCUAAACCUGCAGAAAGAGAGAAAAGGGACACAAAAAUACAACAAAACAAAAAUAUCACUGCGCCCACAACAGUAUAUAUAUAUACACCGUAAAUCCUCUAAUACAGGCCGGUAUUCAAUUAAAGGCCGGGUCUCCAAUUUUGGCCGGUGUCGGAGUCAGCAGAGGUGAAUAAUGGCCGGUCUCUUAUUGUGGCCGGAUGGAAUGUGGUAACAAGCAAGUAUGAGCGUCCCAGCGGCAAAGUUAAAGUCCACAAAUCAAUCAGCAGGUGGCAGUAGAGGUUCACGCAGACCUUUAUUAGGCUUUUUCUUCAACGCUUUGUAACGCUACAGACACGAUCCUCUAUCACGCUCCUACCACACAGAGUCACGGUGUCAGUUAACCAUGCUAAUUCAACCCGCUCCACUGAACACACAUCACCUUCCCUGUGGCUUACAUAACACUCACACAACACGCAAAUCAGCACAUAGGAACUAGCAGAACGAUAGGAAACACAUAUAACACAAUACCCAGAAUGCACCUGGCUUACAACCCCAGCCAGGUCAUUACACUAUCAAGUUCAAAGAGAACGUGCUGAUUAUGCUGCAGAACACUCUGGAGAGCAGCAGUAGGGGGUGUAUGAACUACAGUAAUCCCUCGUUUAUCGCGGUAGAUGCGUUCCAGACCUGGCCGCGAUAGGUGAAAAUCCGCGAAGUAGGGACUCCCAGCAUGCCCCUCGCGGGGAUUCCCUCCACGUCGCACCUACGUCACAAACCGCGGCUAUAAACGGAAGUCGCCUUUCCAGCUCACCACUCAGUCAUCGUUUCUUCAGAUUCAUGAUCAGAGUUUCCAACCUACCGAUCAAUCCAACGAACUAUCAGCUCAUAGUAAGUUAUCUUACUAACUUCUGGAAAGCCCGGCAUUUCCGUGUCACUUCGUUGACGCUCGAACGCUCGGGGGUUUCCUAGAGCACCGACGCUAUCACUUCCGCGUCUGUGAAACCACGCUCCCUAUUGAAUUAUCGUAUGAUCACAUUCUCUGUGAUCAGCAACGCGCUGUGCCAGACCGUAGGUACUGACACGCGAUCGUUCAUGUCGGUUCAUUUCCUUUAAUGUUUUCUGUCUUUUAUUUGCGCCUGAUGUGUAUCGCUGCUGUGGAGCGGGGCGCGUCACCUUGUCCUCCGACGCACUGAUCACUGAUACGGCCGCCAAAUAGCGAGCGCUCCGCUGUUUUAGCGGUCGGUAGAUCUUUUAGAGCUGCAGUUCAAAGGUAACUCAUAAGGUGAAUAUAUAUGAACCCAGGUAGCAGUUUCUCUUUAGGAUUGAGAGGAGAUACAGGAAGAUAAUAAACAGGCAGGACAGAAAAAUAGUCAAAUAAAAACAAGUUAGUUUUUGUACCUGCUGGUUGCAACAAACAGACACCAUUGAAGAUAAUCAGAAGUGAGGAACAGAAAAUGAAAUAAUUAUUUUAAUGUUUAGAGCAGCAGGAACUCCGAGAGGCUGCAGGCGCAUCAGUGAGUUUGCGGCCGCUGCGCAGGGGGAGGGGGGAGAUGGCUGAAGCAGAAACUACCGUUGUUAAAAGAAAUGUGUUUAACUUUGAAAAUGUGGGCGCACUUUUAAUUGUCAAAAAGUCCAGCGAACCAUUAGUUCAUUUUGCUCAAAUAGAAAUAGAGGCCUGCCUCUAAUACUGGCCCUCCUUCCAAUAAAGGCCUGGAGCUUGAUGAGCUUGAGUCAAAUACAGGCCCGGGCCUGUAUUAGAGGAUUUACGGUAUAUAUCAACUAGAGAGCCCGAGGCUGGUGCUGCAGACACACUGCCUGUGUGUUGGGGUUUACCCCGGGGGACGAGAGGGUAGCUUCCCUGCACCUUCGGGUCGGGGAACGGGUCCUGACUGUUGUUUGUGCUUAUGGGCCAAAUAUCAGUUCAGAGUACCCACCCUUUUUGGAGUCCCUGGGACGAGUGCUAGAUAGUGCUCCAUCAGGGGACUCCAUUGUCCUGCUGGGGGACUUCAAUGCUCACGUGGGCAAUGACAGCUUGACCUGGAGGGGUGUGAUUGGGAGGAAUGGCCCGCCUGAUCUGAACUCGAGUGGUGUUUCGUUACUGGACUUCUGUGCAAGCCGCAGUUUGGCCGUAACGAACACCAUGUUCGAACAUAAGGAUGCCCAUCAGUACACUUGGUACCAGGGCAGCCUAGGUCACAGGUCGAUGAUAGACUUUGUAGUCGUAUCAUCGGACCAAGCAGCCAUGCCAGACCCAGAGACCUGGGAGGUUACAAAACUAAAACUAAACCAAUUUGAAGAAAUCUGGCCCAGUCGGCAUUAGAACCCGGGUCCCCUGCAUGUAAGUCGGUCGCCUUACUAAAGAAUCCCUGUUCUCUGCAGCAACGGCUCCACCCACAACCCAGAGACGAAUUUUUAAUGAGCUACGGCCACUAAGUAGGACAGAAGUACUAGAAAACGGCACAGGUUUUGUGAUUUAGGCUAAAACAGCUAAAUCAUAGUUUGAAGACCACGGAGAACUAUUUAAAACAGCUAAACAGAUUCUUAAGAGUGGGAUGAUGGAAUAACGUUGGAAUCUCUACAUGAACCAACAGUAAAGCCUAAAGUUUACAGACUCAAUGUGCAACAGAAACAAAUCUGAGCAUGCAUGGGUACAGAAGUAAACAAUAACUGAUGUAGGCUGUUUUCAUUCAAGUUUCAAUUUCAAUUCAAGUUUAUUUAUAAAGCGCCAAAUCACGACCAGAGUCGUCUCACUUCACACAGUAAACAUUCCAAUACAGGUCAGGUCAUUAAGCCAAUCAGUCAAAAGUUUCCUAUAUAAGGAACCCAGCAGGUUGCAUCGAGUCACUGACUCGUGUCAGAGUCUUUACAGCAAUCCUCAUACUAAGCAAGCAUGCAGCGACAGUGGAGAGGAAAACUCCCUUUUAACAGGAAGAAACCUCCAGAGAAUCCCGGCUCAGUAUAAGCAGCCAUCCUCCACGACUCACUGGGGAUGGAGAAGACAGAGCGCGCGCGCGCACACACACACACACACACACACACACACACACACACACACACACACACACACACACACACACACACACACACACACACACACACACACAACAUAUAUA